CCUACGGGGGGCAGCAGUAGGGAAUCUUCGGCAAUGGACGAAAGUCUGACCGAGCAACGCCGCGUGAGUGAAGAAGGUUUUCGGAUCGUAAAACUCUGUUGGUAGAGAAGAACGUUGGUGAGAGUGGAAAGCUCAUCAAGUGACGGUAACUACCCAGAAAGGGACGGCUAACUACGUGCCAGCAGCCGCGGUAAUACGUAGGUCCCGAGCGUUGCCCGGAUUUAUUGGGCGUAAAGCGAGCGCGGGUGGUUUGUUAAGGGGGGUGUAAAAGGCCGGGGCUGAACGGGUGUAUGCAGUGAAAGCAGGUAGACUGGAGUGCAGGAAGGGAGGGUGGAAUUCCAGGUGUAGCGGUGAAAGGCGUAGAUAGAUGGAGGAAAACCGGUGGCGAGAGAGGCUCUCUGGCCUGUAACUGACACUGUGGCUCGAAGGCGUGGGGAGCAAACAGGAUUAGAUACCCAUGUAGUC
rnacentral:rRNA from 1 species